AAUAUCUAACUGCGACACGCGAAAGAAGACAUAAGAGAGACAAAAUAUGCCAAGAAAUCAUCGGAUAAGGCCUCGAGAUUUCUUCAAACGAUGAAAAUUAGCUUUCACCGAGUACAGUGAAUCAACUUGGGCAAGCAUAACCUAGCAAACUAUCAUUCUAGUUCGCAAAACUAGGAUUUUUGUACAAUACUGCUAUUUCCUACUAAAGUUGUGCAUGAAACCCAAAACAAGCCAGCUGAUCUUUCCUCAUUGCACACCCUAACAUAUUCAUACAAGCACACAAACAUGCACCC
rnacentral:lncRNA from 1 species